rnacentral:lncRNA from 1 species
GCCUUACAAAAAAUGGGGAAAAGGGCCAAGUUUUUUACAGAGGGAACUUGGAUGAGCGGGGAGAUCUGAUCAAGGUUUUAGCAGGGGGCUUUCGUCGGGUUUCCGUAGAGGGCCAUUACAGUGAGGAGUGUGAUACUCUGGCAUGGAACUUGCAGGGGGUAUUGGGAACCCUGGUGGGGCUCUGGUAGUGACACAGGGUCGCUACAGUGCAUAAGAGGGGCUUCAGUAGUCGAGGGUUCAUCGGUAGCUGGCCCAGUGAAAGAAGUUAUGUCAAAGACAUAGGGAGGCCUCUGGUGCUGUUUCAUCAGCGAGUGUUCCGGUGAGGGAAACUCCGGUGGGAGUUUGCGGGGUGAGUGCCCCGGGGGAGGAAACUCUAGCGUGUGGCAGGCCAGAGGCAACGGUUUUUCGGCACUAGAAGCUGAGGAGGGGGGGGGGGGGGGGGGGGGGGUUGCCUGCGAGCCAAAGGGUUAAAGGGCUGCCUGCGAGCCAAAGGGUUAAAGGGCAGCCGAUGGGUCAGGGGGCAGACGAAGGGUUGCAUUACGUACACGUGGGCAGGGACACAGGUUGGGAGAUGAAGGGUUGCCCGAGGGAGGCCGUACGUAUUAAGGAGGUCAAGAGACAUAAGGCGGUGGACGACAGUCAAGAGAUCGCAUGUACGUGGUGUUACGUGCAUUCUCAUGGAGUGUGCAACACACAUGUGAGGAAACACAUCAGAUCGGCGGCUUGACAAAGAGGUGUAUCCAAUGGCUUAGGGGUGCGCGCUUAGCAGUCUGGGGGCGAAACUGCUUGGUAGGCAAGGCAUCGAGAAGUUGCAGAAUGACGGCUAUCAUUGUGGAUGCACGGAGUGUUGACCGUUGAUGGCAAGCUCUAACGACCGUUCUGUGGUGGUCUAUAAAACGCGAGGCUCGAGGAUUUUGUCAAGCAAUCGAGAUGACGAAGAUGGUUCGACUCAUAUUGUAAUGACCAGUGGAUGGCUCGGCCCGGAUUGCAACGGCGGGCCUUCAGUUGGACCUCCCAUUCGGUUUCCUUUAAGGAGUUCAAGGAAGAGCAAGAGACCUUUUUCAUGAAGGUGAAAAAGGCUCUUAGAGGAGGUUGCCUCUGGAGAAGGAGGCGUGGCUCUAGGGGUCAAAUCCUUAGAUCGGACCCACCUCGUCCUUGCUCCUCUUUUGCCACGAGGUUAGCAAUUGAGCGUCCUUGCUCCUCUUUUGCCACGAGGUUAGCAAUUGAGCGAAGACUGAUGUAGCAUUUCCUUUUAUUGUAUACAGAUGCUUGUACACAAAUUUGAUAAUAGAAAU